GACGAACGCUGGCGGCGUGCUUAACACAUGCAGGUCGAACGGAAAGGCCCUGCUUUUGUGGGGUGCUCGAGUGGCGAACGGGUGAGUAACACGUGAGUAACCUGCCCUUGACUUUGGGAUAACUUCAGGAAACUGGGGCUAAUACCGGAUAGGAGCUCCUGCUGCAUGGUGGGGGUUGGAAAGUUUCGGCGGUUGGGGAUGGACUCGCGGCUUAUCAGCUUGUUGGUGGGGUAGUGGCUUACCAAGGCUUUGACGGGUAGCCGGCCUGAGAGGGUGACCGGCCACAUUGGGACUGAGCUACGGCCCAGACUCCUACGGGAGGCAGCAGUGGGGAAUAUUGCACAAUGGGCUGAAGCCUGAUGCAGCACCGCCGCGUGCGGGAUGACGGCAUUCGGGUUGUAAACCGCUUUCGCCUGUGACGAAGCGUGAGUGACGGUAAUGGGUAAAGAAGCACCGGCUAACUACGUG
rnacentral:rRNA from 1 species